rnacentral:tRNA from 1 species
GGAGAGGUGCCCGGAGUGGUUUAUCGGGGACCGGGGCUAUGGCUCCGAUCGGGUGAAAACCCACGCAGGUUCGAAUCCUGCCUUCUCCG